CGGUAGCUCAGCGGUAGAGCAUCGUCCCUUCGGGGAGUCUUUUCCAAUCCUCGUCGCCAGGACGAACAACAGGCUGGCAAAUGCCGGCGGGACUACAUCGGUGGUAUCGGAGGUUCGAAUCCUCCCCG
rnacentral:tRNA from 1 species